rnacentral:rRNA from 1 species
AUUGAACGCUGGCGGCAUGCCUUACACAUGCAAGUCGAACGGUAACAGGGUGCUUGCACCGCUGACGAGUGGCGAACGGGUGAGUAAUGCGUCGGAACGUGCCGAGUAAUGGGGGAUAACGCAGCGAAAGUUGUGCUAAUACCGCAUACGUACUGAGGUAGAAAGUGGGGGACCUUCGGGCCUCACGCUAUUCGAGCGGCCGACGUCUGAUUAGCUAGUAGGUGAGGUAAAGGCUCACCUAGGCGACGAUCAGUAGCGGGUCUGAGAGGAUGAUCCGCCACACUGGGACUGAGACACGGCCCAGACUCCUACGGGAGGCAGCAGUGGGGAAUUUUGGACAAUGGGCGAAAGCCAGAUCCAGCCAUGCCGCGUGUCUGAAGAAGGCCUUCGGGUUGUAAAGGACUUUUGUCAGGGAGGAAAUCCCUAGUGCUAAUAACACUGGGGGAUGACAGUACCUGAAGAAUAAGCACCGGCUAACUACGUGCCAGCCGCCGCAGUAA